rnacentral:rRNA from 1 species
UACGUAGGCAGCGAGCGUUGUUAGGAGUUACUGGGCGUAAAGCGUGCGUAGGCGGUGUCUUAAGUUUGUUGUGAAAUCUCCCGGCUUAACCGGGAGGGUGCGGCGAAUACUGAGAUGCUGGAGUGCCGGAGAGGUAAGCGGAAUUCCUGGUGUAGCGGUGAAAUGCGUAGAUAUCAGGAGGAACACCUGCGGUGUAGACGGCUUACUGGACGGUAACUGACGCUGAGGCACGAAAGCGUGGGUAGCAAACAGG